GUGCCUAACACAUGCAAGUCGAACGGUAACAGGUCUUCGGAUGCUGACGAGUGGCGCACGGGUGAGUAACGCGUGGAUAUCUGCCUAUUAGUGGGGGACAACUUGUGGAAACGCAAGCUAAUACCGCAUAAUCCCUACGGGGGAAAGCAGGGGACCUUCGGGCCUUGUGCUGAUAGAUGAGUCCGCGUCUGAUUAGCUAGUUGGUAGGGUAAAGGCCUACCAAGGCGAUGAUCAGUAUCUGGUUUGAGAGGAUGAUCAGACACACUGGAACUGAGACACGGUCCAGACUUCUACGGAAGGCAGCAGUGGGGAAUAUUGCACAAUGGGCGCAAGCCUGAUGCAGCGACGCCGCGUGUGGGAAGAAGGCUUUAGGGUUGUAAACCACUUUCAAUUGGGAAGAAGAGAUGAGAGUUAAUAACUUUCUGAUUUGACGGUACCUUUAGAAGAAGCACCGGCUAAUUUCGUGCCAGCAGCCGCGGUAAUACGAAAGGUGCAAGCGUUGUUCGGAUUUACUGGGCGUAAAGAGAGUGUAGGUUGUUUAUUAAGUCGGAUGUGAAAUCCCGGGGCUCAACCUCGGAACUGCAUUCGAUACUGGUAGACUAGAGUUCGGGAGGGGUAAGCGGAAUUCCGUGUGUAGCAGUGAAAUGCGUAGAUAUACGGAGGAACACCUGAGGCGAAGGCGGCUUACUGGACCGAUACUGACACUGAGACUCGAAAGCGUGGGUAGCAAACAGGAUUAGAUACCCUGGUAGUCCACGCCCUAAACGAUGUCAACUAGCCGUUGCGGGUAUCGACCCCUGCAGUGGCGAAGCUAACGCGAUAAGUUGACCGCCUGGGGAGUAC
rnacentral:rRNA from 1 species